CUUUUAUGGAGAGUUUGAUCCUGGCUCAGGACGAACGCUGGCGGCGUGCCUAAUACAUGCAAGUCGAGCGAACAGAGAAGGAGCUUGCUCCUUCGACGUUAGCGGCGGACGGGUGAGUAACACGUGGGCAACCUACCUUAUAGUUUGGGAUAACUCCGGGAAACCGGGGCUAAUACCGAAUAAUCUGUUUCACCUCAUGGUGAAACACUGAAAGACGGUUUCGGCUGUCGCUA
rnacentral:rRNA from 1 species